UGGAAAUAUUUUUUCAUUUUCAU
rnacentral:miRNA from 1 species